rnacentral:rRNA from 1 species
UCAGUGUGUGUGUUAGUGGAAGCGUCUGGAAAGGCGCGCGAUACAGGGUGACAGCCCCGUACACAAAAAUGCACAUAUUGUGAGCUCGAUGAGUAGGGCGGGACACGUGGUAUCCUGUCUGAAUAUGGGGGGACCAUCCUCCAAGGCUAAAUACUCCUGACUGACCGAUAGUGAACCAGUACCGUGAGGGAAAGGCGAAAAGAACCCCGGCGAGGGGAGUGAAAAAGAACCUGAAACCGUGUACGUACAAGCAGUGGGAGCCUCUUUAUGGGGUGACUGCGUACCUUUUGUAUAAUGGGUCAGCGACUUAUAUUCUGUAGCAAGGUUAACCGAAUAGGGGAGCCGAAGGGAAACCGAGUCUUAACUGGGCGUUAAGUUGCAGGGUAUAGACCCGAAACCCGGUGAUCUAGCCAUGGGCAGGUUGAAGGUUGGGUAACACUAACUGGAGGACCGAACCGACUAAUGUUGAAAAAUUAGCGGAUGACUUGUGGCUGGGGGUGAAAGGCCAAUCAAACCGGGAGAUAGCUGGUUCUCCCCGAAAGCUAUUUAGGUAGCGCCUCGUGAAUUCAUCUCCGGGGGUAGAGCACUGUUUCGGCAAGGGGGUCAUCCCGACUUACCAACCCGAUGCAAACUGCGAAUACCGGAGAAUGUUAUCACGGGAGACACACGGCGGGUGCUAACGUCCGUCGUGAAGAGGGAAACAACCCAGACCGCCAGCUAAGGUCCCAAAGUCAUGGUUAAGUGGGAAACGAUGUGGGAAGGCCCAGACAGCCAGGAUGUUGGCUUAGAAGCAGCCAUCAUUUAAAGAAAGCGUAAUAGCUCACUGGUCGAGUCGGCCUGCGCGGAAGAUGUAACGGGGCUAAACCAUGCACCGAAGCUGCGGCAGCGACACUAUGUGUUGUUGGGUAGGGGAGCGUUCUGUAAGCCUGUGAAGGUGGCCUGUGAGGGUUGCUGGAGGUAUCAGAAGUGCGAAUGCUGACAUAAGUAACGAUAAAGCGGGUGAAAAGCCCGCUCGCCGGAAGACCAAGGGUUCCUGUCCAACGUUAAUCGGGGCAGGGUGAGUCGACCCCUAAGGCGAGGCCGAAAGGCGUAGUCGAUGGGAAACAGGUUAAUAUUCCUGUACUUGGUGUUACUGCGAAGGGGGGACGGAGAAGGCUAUGUUGGCCGGGCGACGGUUGUCCCGGUUUAAGCGUGUAGGCUGGUUUUCCAGGCAAAUCCGGAAAACCAAGGCUGAGGCGUGAUGACGAGGCACUACGGUGCUGAAGCGACAAAUGCCCUGCUUCCAGGAAAAGCCUCUAAGCAUCAGGUAACAUCAAAUCGUACCCCAAACCGACACAGGUGGUCAGGUAGAGAAUACCAAGGCGCUUGAGAGAACUCGGGUGAAGGAACUAGGCAAAAUGGUGCCGUAACUUCGGGAGAAGGCACGCUGAUAUGUAGGUGAAGCGACUUGCUCGUGGAGCUGAAAUCAGUCGAAGAUACCAGCUGGCUGCAACUGUUUAUUAAAAACACAGCACUGUGCAAACACGAAAGUGGACGUAUACGGUGUGACGCCUGCCCGGUGCCGGAAGGUUAAUUGAUGGGGUUAGCGGUAACGCGAAGCUCUUGAUCGAAGCCCCGGUAAACGGCGGCCGUAACUAUAACGGUCCUAAGGUAGCGAAAUUCCUUGUCGGGUAAGUUCCGACCUGCACGAAUGGCGUAAUGAUGGCCAGGCUGUCUCCACCCGAGACUCAGUGAAAUUGAACUCGCUGUGAAGAUGCAGUGUACCCGCGGCAAGACGGAAAGACCCCGUGAACCUUUACUAUAGCUUGACACUGAACAUUGAGCCUUGAUGUGUAGGAUAGGUGGGAGGCUUUGAAGUGUGGACGCCAGUCUGCAUGGAGCCGACCUUGAAAUACCACCCUUUAAUGUUUGAUGUUCUAACGUUGGCCCGUAAUCCGGGUUGCGGACAGUGUCUGGUGGGUAGUUUGACUGGGGCGGUCUCCUCCUAAAGAGUAACGGAGGAGCACGAAGGUUGGCUAAUCCUGGUCGGACAUCAGGAGGUUAGUGCAAUGGCAUAAGCCAGCUUGACUGCGAGCGUGACGGCGCGAGCAGGUGCGAAAGCAGGUCAUAGUGAUCCGGUGGUUCUGAAUGGAAGGGCCAUCGCUCAACGGAUAAAAGGUACUCCGGGGAUAACAGGCUGAUACCGCCCAAGAGUUCAUAUCGACGGCGGUGUUUGGCACCUCGAUGUCGGCUCAUCACAUCCUGGGGCUGAAGUAGGUCCCAAGGGUAUGGCUGUUCGCCAUUUAAAGUGGUACGCGAGCUGGGUUUAGAACGUCGUGAGACAGUUCGGUCCCUAUCUGCCGUGGGCGCUGGAGAACUGAGGGGGGCUGCUCCUAGUACGAGAGGACCGGAGUGGACGCAUCACUGGUGUUCGGGUUGUCAUGCCAAUGGCACUGCCCGGUAGCUAAAUGCGGAAGAGAUAAGUGCUGAAAGCAUCUAAGCACGAAACUUGCCCCGAGAUGAGUUCUCCC